GACGAACGCUGGCGGCGUGCUUAACACAUGCAAGUCGAACGGAAAGGCCCUGCUUUUGUGGGGUGCUCGAGUGGCGAACGGGUGAGUAACACGUGAGUAACCUGCCCUUGACUUUGGGAUAACUUCAGGAAACUGGGGCUAAUACCGGAUAGGAGCUCCUGCUGCAUGGUGGGGGUUGGAAAGUUUCGGCGGUUGGGGAUGGACUCGCGGCUUAUCCGCUUGUUGGUGGGGUCGUGGCUUACCAAGGCUUUGACGGGUAGCCGGCCUGCGAGGGUGACCGGCCACAUUGGGACUGAGAUACGGCCCAGACUCCUACGGGAGGCAGCAGUGGGGAAUAUUGCACAAUGGGCGGAAGCCUGAUGCAGCAACGCCGCGUGCGGGAUGACGGCCUUCGGGUUGUAAACCGCUUUCGCCUGUGACGAAGCGUGAGUGACGGUAAUGGGUAAAGAAGCACCGGCUAACUACGUG
rnacentral:rRNA from 1 species